UGGCUCUCGCAUCGAUGAAGAACGCAGCGAAAUGCGAUAAGUAAUGUGAAUUGCAGAAUUCAGUGAGUCAUCGAAUCUUUGAACGCACCUUGCGCUCCUUGGUAUUCCGAGGAGCAUGCCUGUUUGAGUGUCUUGAAGUCAUCAACCCCUACCGUUUUGUGCGGUCUGGGUGUUGGAUCUGGGGGCUUGCUGCCGAGAGGCGGCUCCCCUCAAAUGCAUCGGUUGGGCCUGUGGGUCGUACUCGAUUGGGCGUUGUACUAUCCUCGCUUUUAACGAGAUGUUCCCCUCUUUUGUGCCCCUCCACGACCUGCCUUCUGAGUGGCGGUCAAGCAAAAACUUUGAAAUUCUGACCUCAAAUCAGGUAGGACUACCCGCUGA
rnacentral:misc_RNA from 1 species